rnacentral:lncRNA from 1 species
UGUUCCAGUUAAUUAAUUCCAACCCGUGAACCGAAACAUCAAAGGUCGACGAGUUCUCGCAGUUGCCUUCCUUGAUAGAUCUAGGGUUCUUCGCUCUGAGUUUGUGAUCAAGCCAGACUCUAAUGGAGGUUGUUCGAGGUUCACAGUCUCAAAUAUCUGUCUGGAAUCACUGAUUUGGUGACUUUCGCGACGUUUCGCACAUGAUUCGUCGACUAUGUUAUGUUACGGUAUUAAGUGUUCCUCCCCUUAAGCAUCAAUCUUUCCUCCUUGGAUCCACGACGCCCACGAUUUCUCAUUCAUUAAUACCCAGCUUCUAGAGAAUUUAUUGGUAUGUAUCUAGCGUCACACAUUUUACUAUAUAUGCACUAUCAUCUUCAUGUUAUUCUUUUAUUCACUCACAAUUCAUUAAAUGGACAUAUAGGCUGCAUAGGGAGAGAAUCCAUAAAACACUCAGUUAACCCUUUUUAUUGCAUACAUGGUUGGGAAGACUUACACCCUCCAGGUCAGGAUUAGUAGCUACAACUUCACAGCCAAUCACCAAACCUUCACUAUAUUUCGCAUAUUGAACGAGCCUGAUCGUCUGCCACUGCAUGACUUUGUAACUCAAGUACGUUUUAAUCUAUAUUCUAUCCUGUCUCUUUUGUAGUGCGAAAAUAAUGAUGUGUGAUGUUUUUAAUAGGACGGCUUCGAUG